rnacentral:rRNA from 1 species
AUUGAACGCUGGCGGCAUGCCUUACACAUGCAAGUCGAACGGCAGCACGGGGCAACCUGGUGGCGAGUGGCGAACGGGUGAGUAAUGCAUCGGAACGUACCUUUCAGUGGGGGAUAACGUAGCGAAAGUUACGCUAAUACCGCAUAUUCUGUGAGCAGGAAAGCAGGGGAUCGCAAGACCUUGCGCUGAUUGAGCGGCCGAUGUCAGAUUAGCUAGUUGGUGGGGUAAAGGCUCACCAAGGCAGCGUUCUGUAGCGGGUCUGAGAGGAUGAUCCGCCACACUGGAACUGAGACACGGUCCAGACUCCUACGGGAGGCAGCAGUGGGGAAUUUUGGACAAUGGGGGCAACCCUGAUCCAGCCAUGCCGCGUGAGUGAAGAAGGCCUUCGGGUUGUAAAGCUCUUUCGGCCGGGAAGAAAUCGCACGGGCUAAUACCCUGUGUGGAUGACGGUACCGGAAUAAGAAGCACCGGCUAACUACGUGCCAGCCGCCGCAGUAAAAC